rnacentral:rRNA from 1 species
GCUAGCGGCAGGCCUAAUACAUGCAAGUCGAGGGGUAACAGGAAGUGCUUGCACUUCGCUGACGACCGGCGCACGGGUGAGUAUCGCGUAUACAAUCUGCCUCAUACUAGGGAAUAGCCCGAAGAAAUUUGGAUUAAUGCCCUAUAGUAUCUUUUUAAGGCAUCUUAUUAAGAUUAAAGGUUACGGUAUGAGAUGAGUAUGCGUUCUAUUAGCUAGUAGGUGUGGUAACGGCACACCUAGGCUACGAUAGAUAGGGGCCCUGAGAGGGGGAUCCCCCACACUGGUACUGAGACACGGACCAGACUCCUACGGGAGGCAGCAGUAAGGAAUAUUGGACAAUGGGCGAAAGCCUGAUCCAGCCAUGCCGCGUGCAGGAUGACUGCCCUAUGGGUUGUAAACUGCUUUUAUAUAGGAAGAAAAAUUUUCUCGUGAGAAAACUUGACGGUACUAUAAGAAUAAGGAUCGGCUAACUCCGUGCCAGCAGCCGCGGUAAUACGGAGGAUCCAAGCGUUAUCCGGAAUCAUUGGGUUUAAAGGGUCCGUAGGUGGACAAAUAAGUCAGAGGUGAAAUCCUGCAGCUCAACUGUAGAACUGCCUUUGAUACUGUUUGUCUUGAGUUAUUAUGAAGUGGUUAGAAUGUGUAGUGUAGCGGUGAAAUGCAUAGAUAUUACACAGAAUACCGAUUGCGAAGGCAGAUCACUAAUAAUUAACUGACACUGAGGGACGAAAGCGUGGGUAGCGAACAGGAUUAGAUACCCUGGUAGUCCACGCCGUAAACGAUGGUCACUAGCUGUUUGGACUUCGGUCUGAGUGGCUAAGCGAAAGUGAUAAGUGACCCACCUGGGGAGUACG